ensembl:lncRNA
CCCAUGCACAGAGGAGCCUGGCGGGCUAUGGCCAUUGCAAAGAGUCGGACGCAGAUGAAGCGACAGCACAGCACGGCACAUAUAGGAGACCUGGGUUUGAUCCCUGGGUCAGAAGAUCCCCUGGAGGAGGGCAUGGAAACUCACUCCAGUACUCUUGCCUGGAGAAUCCCAUGCACAGAGGAGCCUGAUGGGGCUGCAGUCCAUAGGGUUGCACAGAGUCGGACACUACUAAGCAACUACCUUAUGGAUUGACUAGACUACCCCUGAUAACCAAUUGAUUUCUUCUCUGUUGAGAGCCACAUGUGGGUCCACCGUCAGCCCACAUGAUCAGACGACAAGAACCGUGUCCCACUGAAAGAGAUUAGCUGAUCGGCAGUGGCUACAUUAUGAAUUCAGUCCCCGCUCCCUAUAAUGC